CCUACGGGAGACAGCAGUGGGGAAUAUUGGGCAAUGGGCGCAAGCCUGACCCAGCAACGCCGCGUGAAGGAAGAAGGCUUUCGGGUUGUAAACUUCUAUCCUCAGGGACGAAGAAAGUGAUGGUACCUUAGGAAUAACCCACGGCCAACUACGUGCCAGCAGCCGCGGUAAUACGUAGGGGGCAAGCGUUAUCCGGAUGUAUUGGGUGUAAAGGCCGUGUAGGCGGUGGUGCAAGUCAGAUGUGAAAACUCAGGGCUCAACCCUGAGCCUGCAUUUGAAACUGUGUUUCUUGAGUGCUGGAGAGGCAAGCGGAAUUCCGUGUGUAGCGGUGAAAUGCGUAGAUAUACGGAGGAACACCAGUGGCGAAGGCGGAUUGCUGGACAGUAACUGACGUUGAGGCGCGAAAGCGUGGGGAGCAAACAGGAUUAGAUACCCCAGUAGUC
rnacentral:rRNA from 1 species